GGAUGGCUCAAGGCCACCGGAAGGGUGAAUAGGAGCCGAGUCAUACGGUUCAGAUCUAGCUUCAACCCUCCAACAGCUUGUUGGUCUUUGACGUCCUCCUUUCAGACCUCGAUGAUCGAGACGUCAGAUGAUGUAUAUGUCGAGGAAGUUGUACAGAGAUUUUUUUGCCAGCAACCUCAAAGCUUCUUGGACAUCAUUUGCG
rnacentral:lncRNA from 1 species